ACGCACGCUGGCGGCGUGCUUAACACAUGCAAGUCGAACGGAAAGGCCCUGCUUUUGUGGGGUGCUCGAGUGGCGAACGGGUGAGUAACACGUGAGUAACCUGCCCUUGACUUUGGGAUAACUUCAGGAAACUGGGGCUAAUACCGGAUAGGAGCUCCUGCUGCAUGGUGGGGGUUGGAAAGUUUCGGCGGUUGGGGAUGGACUCGCGGCUUAUCAGCUUGUUGGUGGGUAGUGGCUUACCAAGGCUUUGACGGGUAGCCGGCCUGAGAGGGUGACCGGCCACAUUGGGACUGAGAUACGGCCCAGACUCCUACGGGAGGCAGCAGUGGGGAAUAUUGCACAAUGGGCGGAAGCCUGAUGCAGCAACGCCGCGUGCGGGAUGACGGCCUUCGGGUUGUAAACCGCUUUCGCCUGUGACGAAGCGUGAGUGACGGUAAUGGGUAAAGAAGCACCGGCUAACUACGUG
rnacentral:rRNA from 1 species